rnacentral:rRNA from 1 species
UACGAAGGGGGCUAGCGUUGCUCGGAAUCACUGGGCGUAAAGGGUGCGUAGGCGGGUCUUUUAAGUCAGGGGUGAAAUCCUGGAGCUCAACUCCAGAACUGCCUUUGAUACUGAGGAUCUUGAGUUCGGGAGAGGUGAGUGGAACUGCGAGUGUAGAGGUGAAAUUCGUAGAUAUUCGCAAGAACACCAGUGGCGAAGGCGGGUCUCUGGGCCGAUACUGACGCUGAGGAGCGAAAGCGUGGGGAGCGAACAGG